rnacentral:lncRNA from 1 species
CUACAGCAACAUUUGAAAAUAGAAAGCGACCGCCUCACCCCCAACAGGGACAGCCCCUCCUGCCACAGGGGGUCAUCACUGCCCCUCGCGAGAAGCUGCAGGCGUGGGAUGAGGCGUGGCAGGAUGGCUCGACGGGCGGUGCCCGGGGCGGGGUCAGGCCGUGCCUGGGCGGGGCCGGGCGGGAGGGGCAGUGCAUAGGCC